AUGACGCUGGCGGCAGGCUACACAUGCUUAUCGAGCGGAUGACGGGAGCUUGCUCCUUGAUUCAGCGGCGGACGGGUGAGUAAUGCCUAGGAAUCUGCCUGGUAGUGGGGGACAACGUUUCGAAAGGAACGCUAAUACCGCAUACGUCCUACGGGAGAAAGCAGGGGACCUUCGGGCCUUGCGCUAUCAGAUGAGCCUAGGUCGGAUUAGCUAGUUGGUGAGGUAAUGGCUCACCAAGGCGACGAUCCGUAACUGGUCUGAGAGGAUGAUCAGUCACACUGGAACUGAGACACGGUCCAGACUCCUACGGGAGGCAGCAGUGGGGAAUAUUGGACAAUGGGCGAAAGCCUGAUCCAGCCAUGCCGCGUGUGCGAUGACGGCCCUCGGGUUGUAAAGCACUUUAGGUAACGAGGAAAAGUUAGGUGUUAAUACCAUCUAACCUUGACGUUAAUAACAGAAUAAGCACCGGCUAAAUCCGUGCCAACAG
rnacentral:rRNA from 1 species